GACGAACGCUGGCGGCGUGCCUAAUACAUGCAAGUCGAACGAACCGCGACUAGGUGCUUGCACUUGGUCAAGGUGAGUGGCGAACGGGUGAGUAACACGUGGGUAACCUACCUCAUAGUGGGGGAUAACAGUCGGAAACGACUGCUAAUACCGCAUAGGACAUAGGAUCACAUGAUUCUGUGAGGAAAGGUGGCGCAAGCUAUCGCUAAGAGAUGGACCCGCGGUGCAUUAGCUAGUUGGUAGGGUAAAGGCCUACCAAGGCGAUGAUGCAUAGCCGACCUGAGAGGGUGAUCGGCCACAUUGGGACUGAGACACGGCCCAAACUCCUACGGGAGGCAACAGUAGGGAAUCUUCCGCAAUGGACGCAAGUCUGACGGAGCAACGCCGCGUGAGUGAAGAAGGUCUUCGGAUCGUAAAGCUCUGUUGUUAGAGAAGAACAGCGCAUAGAGUAACUGUUAUGCGUGUGACGGUAUCUAACCAGAAAGCCACGGCUAACUACGUG
rnacentral:rRNA from 1 species